rnacentral:pre_miRNA from 1 species
AGAGGUCGCCCUUGGUGAAUUCGCUUUAUUUAUGUUGAAUCACACAAAGGCAACUUUUGU